rnacentral:tRNA from 1 species
GGUGGCUCAGUGGUAGAGCGCUUGCCUUGCAUGCAUGAGGCUCUGGGUUCCACAGCACCA